rnacentral:rRNA from 1 species
AGAUUGAACGCUGGCGGCAUGCCUUACACAUGCAACCUUUACGGCAGCACGGGUGCUUGCACCUGGUGGCGAGUGGCGAACGGGUGAGUAAUACAUCGGAACAUGUCCUGUACUGGGGGAUAGCCCGGCGAAAGCCGGAUUAAUACCGCAUACGAUCUACGGAUGAAAGCGGGGGACCUUCGGGCCUCGCGCUAUAGGGUUGGCCGAUGGCUGAUUAGCUAGUUGGUGGGGUAAAGGCCUACCAAGGCGACGAUCAGUAGCUGGUCUGAGAGGACGACCAGCCACACUGGGACUGAGACACGGCCCAGACUCCUACAGGAGGCAGCAGUGGGGAAUUUUGGACAAUGGGCGAAAGCCUGAUCCAGCAAUGCCGCGUGUGUGAAGAAGGCCUUCGGGUUGUAAAGCACUUUUGUCCGGAAAGAAAUCCUUGGCUCUAAUACAGUCGGGGGAUGACGGUACCGGAAGAAUAAGCACCGGCUAACUACGUGCCAGCAGCCGCGGUAAUACGUAGGGUGCGAGCGUUAAUCGGAAUUACUGGGCGUAAAGCGUGCGCAGGCGGUUUGCUAACACCGAUGUGAAAUCCCCGGGCUCAACCUGGGAACUGCAUUGGUGACUGGCAGGCUAGAGUAUGGCAGAGGGGGGUAGAAUUCCACGUGUUAGCAGUGAAAUGCGUGGAGAUGGGGGAGGAAUACCCGAUGGGGAAGGGCAGCCCCCUGGGGCCAAAUAUUGCCGCUCAUGCAGGAAAGCGGGGGGAGCAAACAGGAUUAGAUACCCUGGUAGUCCACGCCCUAAACGAUGUCAACUAGUUGUUGGGGAUUCAUUUCCUUAGUAACGUAGCUAACGCGUGAAGUUAACCGCCUGGGGAGUACGGUCGCAAGAUUAAAACUCAAAGGAAUUGACGGGGACCCGCACAAGCGGUGGAUGAUGUGGAUUAAUUCGAUGCAACGCGAAAAACCUUACCUACCCUUGACAUGGUCGGAAUCCCGCUGAGAGGUGGGAGUGCUCGAAAGAGAACCGGCGCACAGGUGCUGCAUGGCUGUCGUCAGCUCGUGUCGUGAGAUGUUGGGUUAAGUCCCGCAACGAGCGCAACCCUUGUCCUUAGUUGCUACGCAAGAGCACUCUAAGGAGACUGCCGGUGACAAACCGGAGGAAGGUGGGGAUGACGUCAAGUCCUCAUGGCCCUUAUGGGUAGGGCUUCACACGUCAUACAAUGGUCGGAACAGAGGGUUGCCAACCCGCGAGGGGGAGCUAAUCCCAGAAAACCGAUCGUAGUCCGGAUUGCACUCUGCAACUCGAGUGCAUGAAGCUGGAAUCGCUAGUAAUCGCGGAUCAGCAUGCCGCGGUGAAUACGUUCCCGGGUGUUGUACACACCGCCCGUCACACCAUGGGAGUGGGUUUUACCAGAAGUGGCUAGUCUAACCGCAAGGAGGACGGUCACCACGGUAGGAUU